rnacentral:rRNA from 1 species
UGGAUUACCAGUGAGCGGCGGACGGGUGAGUAACACGUGGGCAACCUGCCCUGGAGCGGGGGAUAACAUUUGGAAACAGAUGCUAAUACCGCAUAAUAAUCAAAACCACAUGGUUUUGAUUUCAAAGAUGGCUUCGGCUAUCACUCCAGGAUGGGCCCGCGGUGCAUUAGCUAGUUGGUGAGGUAAAGGCCCACCAAGGCAAUGAUGCGUAGCCGACCUGAGAGGGUAAUCAGCCACACUGGGACUGAGACACGGCCCAGACUCC